rnacentral:sRNA from 2 species
CUUUAACAAUACUAAUACUUUUCAUGGAAGCCUGUGUGAAUCAGGCACUGUGCCGCAACUGUGACCCCGAUAUAGAUCGGGGAAGUCAGAGCUUUGAAAGGUGUUUUUAGUCCCGAGCAGGAAACAGACCUUACUGGUGAAU